rnacentral:tRNA from 1 species
AGGUCCCACCGAGACUCGAACUCGGAUCGCUGGAUUCAAAGUCCAGAGUGCUCACCAUUACACCAUGGGACC